rnacentral:rRNA from 1 species
UACGUAGGGAGCAAGCGUUGUCCGGAUUUAUUGGGCGUAAAGAGCUCGUAGGCGGUUCCGGAAGUCAGGUGUGAAAAAUCUGGGCUCAACCCAGUGGAGCACCUGAUACUGCGGUGACUCGAGUCCGGUAGGGGAGUGUGGAAUUCCUGGUGUAGCGGUGAAAUGCGCAGAUAUCAGGAGGAACACCGACGGCGAAGGCAGCACUCUGGGCCGGUACUGACGCUGAGGAGCGAAAGCAUGGGGAGCGAACAGG